GGUCUGAGAGGAAGGUCCCCCACAUUGGAACUGAGACACGGUCCAAACUCCUACGGGAGGCAGCAG
rnacentral:rRNA from 1 species